rnacentral:lncRNA from 1 species
GUGGCUAGCUUUUGCAGUUGAUUUCAUAAUUUAAAUACAUUCAUGUAAAACAUCAGAUGUGUAGAUGGAGAGAAUAGAAAAAGAACAUGAUGGGAGAAAGUGACUACUUCAGAAGCAGAAGACCCUUUUCUUUGUUCAUCUGUUGGCAACAAUUUGUCCUUUGGCAAACACUGGGAGUGAAAGCGGUUAUAAUCACCUAGUUUUAAUAGCUAGAGUCACUCUAUACUUUUUCUUCCAAUGCCUAGCUAUCCUUAGAAAUAAUGACUUUGGAAGGGGUGAUGGAAGUUUUUUUAACUCAGAAAUUGGAGAAACAUUAACUUUUAAAUUUACUACCCUGUCCCCCAAAUGGUGACAGUACUGCCAGGCAUUGGAAAUAGGUGAGGCAGACUCUUUCAUGGAAAUUAAUUGAAAAGUUGAAGUAUGCUCUAAGUGCUGAAGUAAGUAUGCACAUGGAAGAAUAGAAUGGCUCCUGUCCCUGAGAAUAAAAUCUUCAAAUAUCUCAUUUUUCUCACAAAAACUAAACUCGUAAUUACCUGGAAAAGGGAACAAAUUAGAGCACACACUAAACUACCCACAAAGCAAAAUAAUCUCAACCAACAACUCCAACCAAGACAUUGACAAGUCACCCAACAACAUUAGGCUACCGCAUACAGUCAUGUGUCUCUGAGUAUACACAGGAGUAAUAUGUAUCAUCACGAAGAUGCCUCAGCAUAAAUAAAAC